GGUUGCACCCGGGAGCCCUGGGCAGCCUCAAGCCUCUAUAACCUUUCCCCCAACCCCCCGGGGCCCACAGCUAAGAGACUAGGGGAAGCUGCACAGAAUAAUAAAGUUUGGCUUCUCAGUCCCCCAAAAGACAGAGAGGCCCUGGCACAAAGGUGAGGUUUAGAAGCUAAAGGUGGGGUUCAGCCCAUGCUCUGCCACUGCCCCUCUAUCUAAAUGACCUCUCCUCACUGUAGAGUGGUGGUAAGCCCCAGACUCAGGUGCCCGGAGACCUGGGUCCACAUCCUGCUUCCUCCUCGUCUGCCUUAAGUUCGUGAUGUAACCUUCUGUACCCCAGUUUUCCCAUCUGAGAAACUGCGAUAAUGAUAGAUAGCAUGGCUGUGAGAAUCAGCCACCUUCAUGUACGUCAAGAUUUUGGAACAACAUCUGGCACAAAGUAAGUACCCAAUAAAUAUCAGCUGUUCUUUCUUUAUUCGUAUGAUUUAUUUACUUAUUUGAUUUUUUUUUUUUUUUUGUCUAGAAUGUCAACUCCAGGAGGGCGGAGACCUCAACUCCUUAUUCCCGGAGAUGUCCCAUGUCCCAGCACAGUGCCUGCACGUGGACGAUCAUGUAACAUUGCUUUUUGCAAUUGGAAGAAACAGUCAUAAAAAAUGGAUAAGCCCUUAUUUGUAACCGCUGAAACUUGGAAGCAACCAACACAUCCUUGGGUAGAAUGUCAGCUCUGCAAGCUGGGGCUUUCUGUCUGUCUUGUUCGGAGCUGUCUUUCCCUGUCCUCACCGGAACAGUGUGAAAAGGUGGAAUUGAAUUAAUCUCCUGGAGACACAGAAGUGGAAGUGACCUUGAAAGAGAAAUUUCAUCUGUCCCCCUGCUGCCAUACUGGACUUGGUGGCCUGUGUGGAUGUCUAUUCCUGGAGAACCUCUCAG
rnacentral:lncRNA from 1 species